AGUGUAAUUGAAUGACUCUCAGGGCCUUGAACAAGACCCAGUGAACAAUUUUUGGAGACCCUAUUUUUCGGAGUAGGGUG
rnacentral:snRNA from 13 species